GAGGUCCUAGCUUAAUUAAAGCGCCUAAGUUGCAUUUAGGUGAUGCGAGGUAAUGUCUUGCGGAUCUUA
rnacentral:tRNA from 1 species